rnacentral:rRNA from 1 species
GCCUACGGGGCGCAGCAGUGAGGAAUAUUGGUCAAUGGUCGGGAGACUGAACCAGCCAAGCCGCGUGAGGGAGGAAGGUACAGAGUAUCGUAAACCUCUUUUGUCAGGGAACAAAGACUGGGACGCGUCCCCGGAUGAGUGUACCUGAAGAAAAAGCAUCGGCUAACUCCGUGCCAGCAGCCGCGGUAAUACGUAGGGGGCAAGCGUUAUCCGGAUUUACUGGGUGUAAAGGGAGCGUAGACGGCAUGGCAAGUCUGAUGUGAAAACCCGGGGCUCAACCCCGGGACUGCAUUGGAAACUGUCAG